UACAGAGGUCUCAAGCGUUGUUCGGAUUCAUUGGGCGUAAAGGGUGCGUAGGUGGCGCCGUAAGUCGGGUGUGAAAUUUCGGAGCUUAACUCCGAAACUGCAUUCGAUACUGCGGUGCUUGAGGACUGGAGAGGAGACUGGAAUUCAUGGUGUAGCAGUGAAAUGCGUAGAGAUCAUGAGGAAGACCAGUGGCGAAGGCGGUCUCUGGACAGUUCCUGACACUGGAGGCACGAAGGCCAGGGAGCAAACGGG
rnacentral:rRNA from 1 species